rnacentral:tRNA from 1 species
GUGCCCAUGGUGUAACGGCAACACUAGAGUUUGUGGAGCUCUCAUUACGGGUUCGAGUCCCGUUGGGCACCCCA